AGCGCAGACCAGCACCCGGCGGUCUGGUCUGUGCAGGAAAGGCAGGAACCGCUUACUAAGGCUCCAACCUUUUAGAGGCAGCAACAAGCUCUUUCUCUGGAUCCGAAGGCGGAGAGGCGCUGCGCUCUCAUUUGGCGAGGGCCCGAGCGCGGCCAGACCGCGCACCAGACCCGGAGCGUGGGGCCCAAAGGCUGGCGGCCGACUCCGGAGCUCGGCGCCCCAACCGGGAAGUGAUCGCAGCAGCCCACCCGCCUGACGCCAGCGGAAGUGCGAGCCCGGGUCGAGCCUGCUCCGCC
rnacentral:lncRNA from 1 species